GAUGAACGCUGGCGGCGUGCCUAAUACAUGCAAGUCGAGCGAACGGACGAGAAGCUUGCUCCUCUGCUGUUAGCGGCGGACGGGUGAGUAACACGUGGAUAACCUACUUAUAAGACUGGGAUAACUUCGGGAAACCGGAGCUAAUACUGGAUAAUAUUUUGUACCGCAUGGUUCAAAAGUGAAAGACGGUCUUGCCGUCACUUAUAGAUGGAUCCGCGCUGCAUUAGCUAGUUGGUAAGGUAACGGCUUACCAAGGCAACGAUGCAUAGCCGACCUGAGAGGGUGAUCGGCCACACUGGAACUGAGACACGGUCCAGACUCCUACGGGAGGCAGCAGUGGGGAAUCUUCCGCAAUGGGCGAAAGCCUGACGGAGCAACGCCGCGUGAGUGAUGAAGGUCUUCGGAUCGUAAAACUCUGUUAUUAGGGAAGAACAGAUGUGUAAGUAACUGUGCACAUCUUGACGGUACCUAAUCAGAAAGCCACGGCUAACUACGUG
rnacentral:rRNA from 1 species